GCUCAGAUUGAACGCUGGCGGCAGGCCUAACACAUGCAAGUCGGACGGUAGCACAGAGGAGCUUGCUCCUCGGGUGACGAGUGGCGGACGGGUGAGUAAUGUCUGGGGAUCUGCCCGAUAGAGGGGGAUAACCACUGGAAACGGUGGCUAAUACCGCAUAACGUCGCAAGACCAAAGAGGGGGACCUUCGGGCGCUCUCCUUCGGUGGCCCCAGGGGUAUAGUAGAGGGGGUACGCCCCGUAACGGCCAAUAGGGAGAAAAAUAAUCUCUGUCGGUCAGAGAGAGGAAUGACCCCCCCCCACUGGAACUGAAACACGGUCCAGACUCCUACGGGGAGGUAGCAGUGGGGAAUAUUGCACAAUGGGCGCAAGCCUGAUGCAGCCAUGCCGCGUGUAUGAAGAAGGCCUUCGGGUUGUAAAGUACUUUCAGCGGGGAGGAAGGCAACAAGGUUACAAUAACCUUGUUGAUUGACGCUCCCCCAGAAGAAGCACCGGCUAACUCCGUGCCAGCAGCCGCGGUAAUACGGAGGGUGCAAGCGUUAAUCGGAAUUACUGGGCGUAAAGCGCACGCAGGCGGUCUGUUAAGUCAGAUGUGAAAUCCCCGGGCUUAACCUGGGAACUGCAUUUGAAACUGGCAGGCUUGAGUCUCGUAGAGGGGGGUAGAUUCCAGGUGUAGCGGUGAAUGCGUAGAGAUCUGAGGAUACCGGUGGCGAGCGCCCCUGACGAGACUGACGCUCAGUGCGAAAGCGUGGGGAGCAGGCAGGAAUAGAUACCUUGUAGUACGCGUACGAUGUCCACUUGAGGUGUCCAUGAGGAUGCUUCGGACUAACGCGUAGUCGACCGCCCCCUGAGA
rnacentral:rRNA from 1 species